AUUGAACGCUGGCGGCAUGCCUUACACAUGCAAGUCGAACGGCAGCACGGGAGCAAUCCUGGUGGCGAGUGGCGAACGGGUGAGUAAUAUAUCGGAACGUGCCCGGUCGUGGGGAUAACGUAGCGAAAGCUACGCUAAUACCGCAUACGAUCUACGGAUGAAAGCGGGGGGAUCGCAAGACCUCGCGCGAUUGGAGCGGCCGAUAUCAGAUUAGGUAGUUGGUGAGGUAAAGGCUCACCAAGCCGACGAUCUGUAGCUGGUCUGAGAGGGCGACCAGCCACACUGGGACUGAGACACGGCCCAGACUCCUACGGGAGGCAGCAGUGGGGAAUUUUGGACAAAUGGGGCGCAAAGCCUGAUCCAGCAAUGCCGCGUGCAGGAUGAAGGCCUUCGGUGUAACUGNUUUGUACGUACGAACGGUAGAGCGUCUAA
rnacentral:rRNA from 1 species